AUACGGAGGGUGCAAGCGUUGUUCGGAAUUACUGGGCGUAAAGCGCGCGUAGGUCGUCUGUUAUGUCAGAUGUGAAAGUCCACGGCUCAACCGUGGAAGUGCAUUUGAAACUGGCAGACUUGAGUACUGGAGGGGGUAGUGGAAUUCCCGGUGUAGAGGUGAAAUUCGUAGAUAUCGGGAGGAAUACCGGUGGCGAAGGCGACUACCUGGCCAGAUACUGACACUGAGGUGCGAAAGCGUGGGGAGCGAACAGGAUUAGAAACCCCAGUAGUCC
rnacentral:rRNA from 1 species